rnacentral:lncRNA from 1 species
UCCUGAAGAAAAGUAAACACCACGUUCACACAAACUCUCUCACAUAGACUGACCAUACAACACUGCUAGUCUGCUACUAUGUUCAGGUAUGUGAGAUAUAAAAUACAAAUAGAUGAGAUAGAAUUACAAGUAGAUUAGCCCUAGAAUUUCAGGAGAGACAGAGAGAGUACAUCCAGGUGUAGAUUUCUGGUUGCCACACGGCCCCAAUGGCACAAACUACUGUUGUUGCGUUCACCAACAAACCUCAGAAAAUCUGCUGCCUACUAUAUCUAGCAACACUCGUUUCAGAUUUUAGUUUUCACCACGCAUUAUAGCCACCGACGGUUGCGCUAUAGCUGCUUUUUUAUUUGAACUUCCAUGAGAAUUUUACUCGACCUGCAUGGACACACUACAGGCGCGCGAUGGAGAACAACAGAAGCUUUAGUGACAACUGAACUUUAUCCAUGCACGAAGUUGAACUUUAUCCAUCGACAACUGUAGCUUCCUCGGCUUGUGCGUGCCACUGAGCAAACCUGUUCAUGGACCAAGGAGCCCCGGCGGUCGCCGACGCGAAGCACGACGCCAUGGACCAAAUACGAGUUCAUGCUUCAGGCAUUUUUCCAGUAACGAAACAGCCUGCAUGGUCUCUCGCCACCAGACAACUUCUGUUUUGCUAAUGCCAAAAUAAUUGUUAUGGAAAAAAAGCAUUUCGAAAUAAAUUAGUGGAAAACAAAGCAUUUACAAAUAAAUUGGCAAAGCUGCAAAAGUGAUAAAAUUACUUCAGAAGCUAUCACAACUAUAUCAAUUUAGUGCUUUGUGUCAAAUGUAGUUUCUAAAAAGCUUGAGCUAUAUUGAGAUGGAACCCGUGAGAUGAGGUCAUCAUGUCUUUCUACUUAUUCUGUAUUCAUUUUUAGUGCCAAUUUACUAAUAGUCAUUUUACCCAUGAGAUGAGGUUGUGGUGCAAGUGUUCAAGAUGAGAGGACCCAAAGGUCACAACCUCUCUGCACUAAGUACCUGUGUAGCCAAAAUAUCACAAAAAGCAAGAAAGCAACUUCUCUGAAUGUACUAAAAAAGCAUUCUCUGAACUUCAUUACCCAGCCACUUCAAACUGCAGCCCCCUCGGCAGCACGCCGAGCACGUCGGAGAGACGCACACCACACGCAGCCAUCGUCGACCGUCCCAUGGUCGUUGGGGUGAUGCUGCUGCAUUGCGGGCUCCAUCUGUAGCUUCAAUGGCUGAAAGGGAAG